UUCCACGAAUAUGUCAACCUCAGGGUUGAAAAAAUUUUUUCCAGAUAUGUUGAAAAUAAUGAUGUUACAACUUCAUAUAAUAAUUGUGCCAUUUGGUGCAGGACAUUUUUUUCUGCUGGCUGCAUGUCACAUGACUGGAGGCCAUUUUGAAAGUUAGUGGUCAGCCAUGUGGUCAGUACCCCCAGAUUGAAAAGAAGAUUUAAAGACUUGUACUGCUGAAGGAAACUGCCAAAAAAAUGCCGAAGUCCGCAGCAGAGAAAAUGAGAGACUACCGGGCUCGUAUGAGUGAUGCUAAACGUCAGCAGGUGAGGGAAACAAAUAAAGAGCAACAAAGAACACGCAGAGCUCAAUGGACUGA